GAUGAACGCUGGCGGCGUGCCUAAUACAUGCAAGUCGAGCGAAUGGAUUAAGAGCUUGCUCUUAUGAAGUUAGCGGCGGACGGGUGAGUAACACGUGGGUAACCUGCCCAUAAGACUGGGAUAACUCCGGGAAACCGGGGCUAAUACCGGAUAACAUUUUGAACCGCAUGGUUCGAAAUUGAAAGGCGGCUUCGGCUGUCACUUAUGGAUGGACCCGCGUCGCAUUAGCUAGUUGGGGAGGUAACGGCUCACCAAGGCAACGAUGCGUGGCCGAGCUGAGAGGGUGAUCGGCCACACUGGGACUGAGAAACGGCCCAGACUCCUACGGGAGGCAGCAGUAGGGAAUCUUCCGCAAUGGACGAAAGUCUGGCGGAGCAACGCCGCGUGAGUGAUGAAGGCUUUCGGGUCGUAAAACUCUGUUGUUAGGGAAGAACAAGUGCGAGUUGAAUAAGCUGGCACCUUGACGGUACCUAACCAGAAAGCCACGGCUAACUACGUGCCAGCCGCCGCAGUAA
rnacentral:rRNA from 1 species